CAGUAAGGAUAUCAAAAUACAAGAGAAUGCUGCAACGACCAAGGUGCCAUAUAUAUAUCGAAGGAGGAUUCAGAAUAUGAAGUUACUGGAAACACUGUUGGAAGUGUUGGUCCUGAGAGCACAGAAAAGGAUUCAUCAUUUCUUAUAAAAACAUUAGAAUCAUUCAAAGAAGCUUUGAUUAAGGAGGAUGACACAAAUGUUGCUGAGAUUGAGGCCUUCUUACUUUGCAUUGAUGUCGAUGAUGAGAAGAACUCUCUUAUGAGGAAAAUCAUUGCUUUGAAUUAUUGAUAACCGUGAGAGAUCGUGUCUUGAGAGCAGGUGCAGAAUCUGAAUUCUACAGAUUGAGAGCAGGUGCAGAUUCUGAAUUCUGCACACAGAAGACAGAACAGAGAGCUGGUGGCAAAUGUGCAAGGGGAAGUUAUGGAGAGCUUUCUUUGCUAGCUGAAUAAGUCUAUCAGGAGUCAAGGCCUGUUUUGUUGGAGGCUUGAUGGAACUUGCCUGGCCUGAUAAGUAACUGUGCGCGCGGUCGUCCUGGGUGCUUGGCUUGAGCUAGCAUGCCGUGUUGUUAUCUUGGUUGAGGCAGCUGGAGUUAGCAAGGUGAUUAGUCAAGGGUGGUUGUCGAUGCCAUCUAAAAAAUAGGUCUUAAAACUUCAUAUUUUCUCAGGAAAAAUUCGUAUGAAUUAAUGAAUAUCAGGCUACAUUCAGGCGAUAUUGUUUGUCAGGCACAGCGCUCAGGGUAGCAACCACACAUUUAAGUGAGCUUUUGUUGAAAUGCGUUGGUACUUUAGUUUUUAGAUUCUGUGAUGAUGGUAUGCAUAAAUACAUGAGCUCUUUCAACCAGUACCACAUAGUAUUAAUGAGGUAACAGAAGCUUGCAAUUCCAUUAUCCUGCAUCUGCCCAAGUCUAGAAGGUCAGAUAAGUUGUUCCGCAAGAUAGACAACAAUUUUUUAUGGGUCAUCACAGUGGGCCGAGAACUUGUUGAUGAAGCCAAUGAUUGGGUUGAUCAUAGUGAUACGGCAUCAGACGUAAUGCUAGAUUUAACCCCAGACAAAUGGGCAAACAUGAAAAGAGGAAAGAUGUCAAUGCAUGAGCCAGAGGGUUCCAGUGGUGAAUAUUUUGGACCAGAAGUUAUGGAUGUUUCACGCGAAGAAGCCAUUCUUUCCAAUGUUUACAUAUAAGAUAUACCAGUACAUCCCAAUUGGUAGGGCCCCUCCACUGAUAAGCUGGAUAUCCUUUUAACAAGUGGCUCAGAGAGAAUAAAGCGUUAGAUUUUAUCAUACUUUUACAGUUUAACAUGUCAAAGAAGGGAGAGGAGACACCAGCGGAUGGCAAGAUGGAUGAACUGUUGGAUAGUGUUAGCCUUAAUUACCUAAUUCCUAAUGAAGUGGAAAACUUUAUGACCAGCAUAGAAAAUGUGCAACACUCUUCUUCUGAGCAUGAAGGGCAGAAUGAUGAUUUCGAAGCAAAUAUCAUUGAGCAAGAUGAUGAACACAUUGGAAAGAUUUUACUAAUCUUACUGUUGCAUGCAAAGACAUUGGUGAUGUCAUAUCAGAAGACCCACAGAAGGUUUAGGUUUCCGAGGGCAAGCAGAAAUAAGUGAUAGCUAUGCCGAUAUUCUAAAUAAUGGCAACACAUAUUAUGUAAACACAGUUCUGCAGUAUUUUCAUUGUUUAUCGGAGCUCAAAGAAAUCUUAAUAAUUUGUGAAGACGUAUGAGUGCUCGGGGCUGAUGUUCUAUGGUUGAUUUCGGAAUGUGUAAGAGCAGGGCGAAUGGUUCCUCAAGUGGGAUCGUACUCUGAGGGGAAUGGUUCCUCAAAUAUUCAGUGAGCAAAAAGGGCAGUGGAAGGCAGCAACCCAACCCCAGGAGUUCCUUUGAACCCUUCAGCGUUAAUACAAUUAUGCUUACACAGAUCAUGAGAAGUAGGAUGCUAUAAAUGUGUAAGUUGAUAAUAUUGGGCCAUUUCCAGCCUCAACAAAGCAAACCUCCUUUUGUGGACGUUGGACUGAGAUCAGCAUUACAAUAUUGGCCGCCAAGGAACUCUAAUUGAAGAAACUGGAAGGUCGACAUCGACCGAGUACGAGCGGCCGUAGGUCACAAGGGGGCGUGGAACUGAUGCAGGCCAUCUGUGACAGAGCAGACUACAGCGACUUUGCACAGCUAGGUACAUACUCUACACGACUACAUGGUAGCAACUUGAAGAAAAUUAUUCCUUUUUGCUUCCAAGACCUGAUAUCGUCCUCGCUGGUGUAUUGAGGCGCCGUGACCCGGCCUCAGUCGCAGGGCCAGGGCGAAGCCGUAUCCCCGACGCCCAAGACACGGCCACGGUGGUGUAGCCUGUGGUGAGACAUACCAGACUCUAACGACUUUGCCGAGCCAGUGCAAAUGUGUUUGUUGAUCAACUAAACUUGGUGAAUGUACAAUCAGGGGGAGCCUUGAAGCCUUCUCAUGCAAAGCAUGCAGCAAAUUAUCGUUGGAUUUCAGAAAUACUUGAAUAUGAGGUACAUACUUUCCAUCACCCUAUGAUUUACGACAAAUGCUUUUAUUUUAGUGCUGAUGUUGCUAAGUAGGCAUUGAUGUGAUAGUUACAUAUAGUUCGUAUUGCCAAAUAUAUAGUUCGUGACUUCAUUGGACGCCUUGAGCUUGCCAGCCAGGCAGGGAAGUAGUUUUAGGCGGGAAACAGUCUUCUGGUGGGAAACAGAGAUGCUGUUGGCGCCAACAAGUAAAAGGGGGGAAAGAGAGGGAGAGAAACAACCCCCAAUCCACACACACAUCCUCCUCCUUCUCUGUAACCUCUCAUCAAGCAGAUCUGCUCCCUCCUCUGCAGCAGAUCCUCAUCCCCUACUCUCCACCAGAAGCCACUACAAGCAAUUGUAUUGGCUAUGAUCUUUUUAUAAGCUGGCACUAUCUCCACUGGUGUUCUUCAUUUGGAAUAUGAUGGUAUGCCUGACAAAACAUGAUCCUAAUCUAGUUAUUUUACAGUAGAGAAAGAUCCAGCCAUAUGCUCUCUGACCGCGCGGCCGACAGAACGAAGCCUGUCCGAGGCAAUGGCUGAAUUUAUAUUCACCUGCACCAUGAAGCGUGGCUAAGACCUACUCUCGACCCGGAUGCCGUACCCACUACCUCGGCUUCUUGCUCGUUCUCUUCUUCCUUACAGUAUUCCUGCUGAUCUCAAAUUCCUAGCGUGGCAGAGGUCAGAGCAAAGGGCGAGGGAGAGGCGCAUGGUGCCGGCAAGCGAGUGCAAUAGGAUAAAGGAGGAAGAAGGAGAACUCCUAAUGCGACACCCCCACGCCAUCAACGACCGCUCGUCGACGUCCAAGACACUCAUGAUCAAUAUCUAACCCACGUCCGCCUCCACAUCCUUCUUCGGUUUGCCGUAGGUGACCUAAGCGGUGGGGGCGAGAGUUAGUUGCGGUUGGAGGCGCUGGAAACCAGUGGGGGUUUUGAGGGAAAGAGCAGCGAGAGGGAGAGGGGCACGGGGAUCUCGGGAAGAUCGGCAAGGGGAGUGAUCCUCGGCUUCAUUUUUCGUGAAUGGAGCGUAGCACGGCGGGGGAAUAUUCUUCCGCUCGGCAGAGUAUAGACCGUCAAUUAAUUGCUACGUGCAAUCCUAACCUCUGUUUUAGGCCGUUAGAUAUCAUUAAGUGGGAUAAUCUGAUGGCACCAAUUAAUCUUGGUACACAUAAUGGGGUGGUUAUAGAUAAGAAAAUGUUCUUGUGGUUAAUAGUAGUAUAGAUAUUAACUUACUAAUGUGUCAGCCCAAUGUAUUUUUAAUAUUAUUUGAAUGUUCUACACGAUGUUAGCGUGUCUAGAAUUCAACGGUAGAGGAAGUGAUAGGGGUUUUUGAGCUGGAUGCGGGCUUUGAUAGAUGUGACGGAAGUGAUAGGGGUUUUUGAGCUGGAUGCGGGCUUUGAUAGAUGUGACAAUUUCCGCUUUGUACCUCUUCGAGGAAAAUGACAGUAGGUGCAGAAAAUGUUGGAGGCACAAUGCUGCCGCCGAAGGAUGUAAAUAUCCUGUGCACGCACAUGCAUUUGCUAGUUUAGGAAAAACAUUAAACCCUGGCGACUCAUCUCAUCUAGCGGCAAGCCCUAUUACCCCUGUACAGCUUACCAAAUGGGGCUAACUGCUCAUUCAUGGCAGACAACCGAAUGAUUCGUUCAUGACGUAGCAACAAAAUCAAUUAAUAAUCCAACAAUAUGGUAAUAAAACCAAACUUCAAUAAUACCAAAACACCAUAAAGUUUGAAUAGUUUGAUUAUACCAAAACAUUUUAAAAUUUGUGAACAUACGUCUAUAGAAGACCCCAUUAAGUUAUUAUCUAAGUAUUCAU